AUGGGAUGUUCCAAAAGGUAGGGCAUGAACCUUGGUGGACACCUCUCCAUGUCUUUGGAAGCCACAGCCACUGCCUGUUAGGUGUACACAACAAAUGGAAUGGAGAAGCCUUGUCCCUGCAGUUGCAGGAGCUGUAAUUCCUUGUUAACCCCCUCCACAUCCACAUCUGUUGGUUGUUUCCCAUGUUAAACCCUGUUGUUUCUUUCUGCUAAUGGCUGUCUUCUUCCACCUCAGAAGCCAACAGAUAAGGAAUGCAAGAGACAUGCCUUGCAUGUGUUGGUCCCCGGCUGUACCACUCCCUGAGAGCACAGACCAGGGCUUAUCAACAAACUGCAGAAGGUUAUACUGACAAAUUAUAAUUAUCAUCUGUCAGGGAGAGGAUAUAGAUUAUAUUCUUUAUCAUAGGGAGAUUAUGACUAUAUUUUAUUUGAUCUUUUUUUCCUUUCCUGGGUUACGCAUCAUUAAUUUCCUGAAAAGAAACAGAAGGCAGAUGAUAGUCAAAUAAAAGGGAUCCUCGUCUGUGAUCAAGAGCCUUGGGCGUAGUGUAGGGUAGAAAUGCAGGUUUAAGGGAUGCUCUUUGUUGGCCUUUUCUGGCUACUGGCAAGUCUGUGUGAAGCUCAUGGUGACGGUGAUCAACCAGCAGCUUGCCAGGAGGUUUUAUUCUUUGCUUCUGUUGGUGUGAUGCUGUGAAAGAAUCCCAGAGGAGAGGCCAGGAAGUGAUGCCCUAAAGGGUGGUGGCAGGAAUUCCCAGGCUAAGGAGCUGCAGAUACUGGACAGGCUCAGCUCAGGUUCAAGGCAUCUCCUAGUCCUGGCAUGGGGUUCACUUUCUCUCCAAACCCCUUGGAAACAGUGGAAGGGGCAGAGUGGGCAUCACUCCUUUCUGCUGUCUUUCUACACCAACAAGAUUGUUAGGAGAAGCUGGCCAUGCUCAGGGGCUGAGAAAUGACCAUCUCCGUGUCACUCAUGUGACUCCUGUUGCCCAUAUAAUUUUUUCCCCCAACUCUCUUCCUGCAGCGAACUGGGAAAUGUAUUUGCAAGAUCUGGAAAGAGCCUGCAACCACAGAAUCAUGGAAUCAAAAUGCGUCAGGCUGGAAGGGACCUCAGUGGGUCAUCUGGUCCAAUCUCACAGCUCAAGCAGCAUCACCCUAGAGCACACUGCACAGGACCGGGUGGUUCUUGAGUAUCUCCAAUGGGCUGUGGAGUAUCUCCAAUGUGGGUUGCCCGCAACCUCUCUGGGCAACCUAACCUGUUCCAGUGCUUGGUCACCUGCACAGUAAAGAAGUUCUUCCUCCUGCGCAGGUGGAGCUUCCUGUGCAGCAGUUUCUCGAGAGGAGGCUGGCUCCAUCCUCUUGUCACCCUCCCCGCAGACACUUAGAGGUGACGGCCCUUCUUGGUCGUCUCAUCUCGAGGCAUCUGUGGCAACGGACUCUGCUGCCGGUGCUGGAGCGCCUCAGCGCCCUCCCUGCGCCAGCCGCUGCGCCAGCCGCUGGGACAGCCGCUGGGACAGCCGCUGGGACAGCCGCUGGGCCAGCCGCUGGGACAGCCGCUGGGACAGCCGCUGGGACAGCCGCUGCCCGCGAGAGACGCCCCGCGCCAGCCCCGCCGCUCGCGCUGCCCGGGCCGGUUUGAAACCGCCGCGGUUCUCCCGGCUCCGCCCGCUCCCAGCCCGCUCCGCCGCCGUGAGCUUCCCGCUGCUGCGGGGGCUCUGCACUCCUGCUGCUGUUGUUCGGGUGUUCCCCCUUGGACAGCUAACCUGAGCAUCCCCAGCUCGCCCCCGGCCGUACCUCGGCCGCCGCUGCUGCCGCCUCGCCGACAGUGCCUUACAACCCCCUGCGUUGUUAGGAAGAAGAUGAGAUAAAGCCACUCAGAUGGAGGCCAGUCCCACCAGCCUCAAGAGGCUUAAGUUUGGGAAGCUGAAGGUGGUCCGUCGGCGCCUGCUGCAGAGGUACGAGCACCAGCCCUUCAUCUCCUGCCUGGCUGGUUUCUACAGCUGCCGGUGGAAGCGGUACCAGCGCGAAAGGACCGAGCCUGGGAAAUGCUGCUGCAACAUGCGGGAAUGCAUGUUUUUCCCAUUGCUCGUUGCAGCUUUCUGCUUUUCUCUGGUCUUUCUGUACACGUGGGGUGAAGGUAAAAAUGACUACAACAGCUUUGACUGGUAUAACUAUGGGAACCUGGGCUUCUGGUUUCUCUGGUCUCUUGUUAUCCUGAUUGUGGCUGCAGUCCUGUUCGCAUACAUCUCACUGUUACUGGUCCUCGCGAUGUGUUUGCUUGCAGAAGGUCAGCAGCUGUACCUGCACUGGAGUCACAAGAUUGGUACUUUUCUUGUCCUGGGCUUCUCUAUCUCAUCCCUCUUUGCAUUAUCUAUACUCUGGCGAGAUCACCGGAAAACUGUCCGCCUGUCAUUCCAGGUCACAGCUCCUUAUCUCCACAUAGGGGCAAUUGCCAUCAUGGUACUUCUUUCCUGGCCUGUGGCUCUUCAUGCCAUCAGAGCAGAUAAGAAAGUUACUCAGGUGAUAAUUGUUGGUCCAUACCUGGCUAUCCUUCUCUUUCUUUUCUUGAUACCUCUGGGGAUGUACUCUCCUUGCAUCAGAGAGAUAGGAACACUCGGACCAAAGCCAGCCCUCAUUGGACACCGUGGAGCACCAAUGCUGGCGCCAGAAAACACUGAGAUGUCAUUUCUGAAGACAAUUGAGCAUGGUGGGGAUGGGCUUGAAACAGAUGUCACCAUAAGCUAUGAUGGGGUUCCUUUCCUCAUGCAUGAUGACACCUUAAGAAGGACAACUAACAUCGAAGAGGUCUACCCUAAUGACACUGGUAAAGCUGCUUCGUUUUUCUCCUGGGAUGCCCUGCAGAAGUUGAAUGCUGGAACGUGGUUCCUUAAGAACAAACCAUUUGUAGGGAUGGGCUCCCUGUCAAAGGCAGAUCAAACCCAGGCAAUGAAUCAGUCCAUUUACACGCUAAGUAGUUUUUUGCGCCUUGCAGACAGUCACAAUAAACUUGUGAUAUUUGAUCUCUACCGCCCUCCAGAGAAACAUCCUUACAGGAACUUGUGGCUCCGCAAAGUCCUGGAUGUCAUCCUCAAAGAGUCGAAGAUUAAACGCCAUCUGGUCCUGUGGCUGCAUAACAGUGUGAGGUCCUUUGUUCAAUCUGUUGCUCCAGGAUUUCAGCACACGAUGGGCAGAAAGGCACCAAUAAAAGACCUGUUAAAGCACAAUAUUGUCAAACUCAAUCUGGUCUACACUGACAUGUCUAGUGAAGAUAUCCGGAAAUAUGCUGAGGCAAACAUCACCACCAACUUCUAUGUGGUCAACGAGCCAUGGCUCUAUUCCCUGGCAUGGUGCUCUGGGGCACACUCUGUGACCACCAAUGCCGUCCACUUGCUGAAGGAUCUCAGCCAGCCCCUCUUCCUCAUGACUCCACAGCAGUACAACAUCAUGUGGAUCCUGACAGAUCUGACCUCUGCAUUCCUCAUCUCGCUCAUCUUUGCUCUGCACUGGUGGCGAGAAAAGAACUUCUCCUGCUGUGUCCAGGACAGUAACCCGAUGAUAGAGAGUGGUGGCACCUACAACAAAUUCAAGACAGAGCUCAGUGAUAUGCCUGCUGUCCUGGCCUGACAUGGGCAGAGAGAGGACAUGGCCCUGCCAUCUCAAUGCGGCCAGGGAGACCAGCUGGUGGGGGCUCAGAUCUACCUGGUGAGGAGGAGCCAUUUGCCUUUGUGGCCCUACUGGAGAUGAGCAUCAACCUUCCUCUCCUCUCCUUCUCACAUUCCCAUGCCUGUCAGCGAUCCUUGCAGCACAGGAGAGCGCAGAUGGAGUUGCAGCCAUGAAGAAACUGUGCAUUAUGCUAACUGUGAAGGAGAAAGAAUACAGUAGUCUUUACCUGAUCCAGACUACAGACAUUUCUUAUACAUGAGCCUUUUGUUAAAUGAAGUGAUUACAAGUGAGAGGGCAGCAUUAAGUUUCAGAGUUAUCUGUGCCGAGAAGCACCCAAAGCUUUCCAAGUUGCAACUCUGGAGUAUUCUGGAAGCUAGAAAUGUGAAAAAUGAAGAUCCUCCUUUGGAAAAAGGCUAAAGGGCUGAUGAAAUGUUGUAGAGCUGGUCUAAGAAGUAUGGGGAGUGGAUGGUGUUAAAUCCCCCUCCCGUGCCUUGCAUACAUAGGUGGUUCAUAACUUUUCAUGGGUACCACUCACAUAGGGAAUGUGAACAACAACAGUAGGAGGUGGGGAGUGUGUGGGUUAUGUGUGGUGUGCACCAUGGGCUCCUCAGCCUCUGCCUUGGUGCUCAAGUGAAGGACUUGGCUGUGGUUCCCCAACGGCUACCUGUAAUAUACAUUGUGAAAAGCCACCUCAAUGCUCUUUGAUCCAUGUUAUUUAGCUGAUGCUUGGCCAGUAUGCACUGGUAACUCCCUCUACUCACCCUUCUUAUCCUCAGAAGCCUUGCCUAGGCAGAGCCUGGCCAGUUAGACCUGUGGUUUCCUUUAAUGUCUUACGCUCUGUCACAUCUCAGCUACUAUUUUAAUUGCUUCUCAGCUAGCAAGGUCAGGCAACCUUGUUAAGCACGACUGGUUGUCUGACUCCCACACAGACUUUUCACUCAACAUCUACAUGCAGUGAUUAAGCUCAGAACUGACUGGAAGAUCCAGCCCUUAUCAUAGAGGACAAGCAGUGGAGACUCCCAGACUCCAGUGUUUUUUUUACCCCAAAAGAUAAGAUUUCAAUUAAUUUCCAAUCUGUGUACACUGAUAGUUUACUCCCCCUUGCUGGAUGCUGUCAUCAGGAGUUGCACAGUGCAAGAAGUCUUAUCCACAGCGAGAACCCAGGAGCCCUGAUCCCACCCUUCCUCCUGGAGAUAUCACCACGACUGCACAGUGCAGAACAGCCUCCCGCAAGUUACUUGAUGCUUUUUAAUUGGAGUAUUUCACUUGGACAUAUGUUUUUUCAUGUUACAUCGCUUGGUGUGUAUACAAAGAGGCCAGCAGAUGCUAAUACGUAAGACACACAGGCACACACACACACAGAGUCCCAGUCCCACCCAAAAUUAUGGGGUGCAUGGGAUGCCAACAGAGCUGUAAGUGGAGGGAUGAGGGUGGUGGCAGGAGAAAGAUGACCCACAAUAGCUCUGGAAAACACUGCUGUGCUGCAUCGUCUGCUGAGUGUGCAAUGGGUGGCAGGGAUGGCUGAAGACUCAGAAAAAGCAGUAAUGGUGUGGUGAUGAUAGGCAUGUGUCUAAGGACAGGUGGGAUCCCUGGGACAGCUGGAUCAUGGCAGCAGGGGAAUGGAGAGAAAUGGAUGGUGAGAAGGCAGCUGGGCACCUAAUGUAGCCUUCGUGUAACCAUGCUCCCAUCACCAGAGUGCGUUGGGUAGGGGAUGAUGGAGGAAGGUGAUCUCCUACCAGCCCUGUCUGGCUGGUGGAUGUCUCCGUGCAGCAUCUCAUUUGCUUUGAUGGAGCAACCAAAGUCGUGUGACUGCUGCAUCCCACUUGAAUGUCACAGUCCUCGAGAUCUGGUAAGCAGCGCUGCCAAUUCUGCCUGGCACACCAUGUAUUGGAGACCUGAGCUCAGCUGAGCUUAACAGAACAGCACGUGACACCACACAAUAUGGACUUCUACAAAAGCAGUCAAACCCAGCCCAAUGCACAGGACCAAGAGAGACCUCAACAUCUACUGAGAUCCACUCAGUGUUGGUUACACCAACACCAGAUCUUGGUGUACAAUUGUCCCCUCUCUUGAUACUCCACUCCCAGCCAUGUCUUCUUUUGAAGCCUGGAUUUUGGAAAGGCAUGCCCCAGGCUUCUCUCCCUGCAUCCUUCCAGACACAAUAUGGUUGCAGCCUCCUCUCUGCCAGCAGGUCCCAUCUCUGCUCCAAAGUAGGCUGGUCCGCACUGUGUGGCAUUGGGUGGCAGAUGAGACAGCCAAUCAAAGAUGGAGAAAAGACCACCAAAAUCAAGGGUCUGCCUUUGCUGUGAGUGGUUCAGGUCCAACUAGGACUCAUGAAGAGCUGCUUUACACAGAAACACAAAUCACAAUAAAAUCAUCAGCUGAUACAAACCUGAUGGCCAAGUUAAUGUUUGAAUUACAACCCAACAUAGGCUCGGCUUCAGUCUUCCAAGCAUGGGGUGUUCAAAACCCCUAUAUCCAUACUGAAGUUUGCAGUAAAAGUCAAGGUUAAUUUUUCUGGACACAGGGAGCAAAAGGAGAUAAUUAUUUUUCCAAGCUUUGCUUCCAGCUGAACUGUUAGGUUGAGAAAGAUGUGCUUUACUCAGCCUCUGGCAGUCAUAGCUCUUAGGGAAUCUCUGGGCAAGGGAUUGUUCUGCAGGUCAGCAUCCAGAUACCGGCAUGAAAUACAGGAUUUUU